GCGAAGUGCGUGCCGGCUGGAGAGAGAAUAGGGGGGGGGGGGGGGUGGUUGGGGAUGAUUGGUCGUAAAGGGUGGGUAGGGGGGGGCGUAAGUCUGGAGUGAAAUCUGCAGGGUCAACGUGGAGUCUGCUGCCGGAACUGCGGGGCUUGAGUAUGGGAGAGGUGAGUGGAAUUCCCGGUGUAGCGGUGAAAUGCGUAGAUAUCGGGAAGAACACCUGUGGCGAAAGCGGCUCACUGGACCAUAACUGUCGCUGAGGCGCGAAAGCUAGGGGAGCAAACAGGAUUAGAUACCCCAGUAGUC
rnacentral:rRNA from 1 species